rnacentral:rRNA from 1 species
GAUGGACGCUGGCGGCAUACUUAACACAUGCAAGUCGGACGGAAAGUUGUGUUUCCAGUGCCGGACGGGUGAGUAACGCGUAAGAACCUGCCCUUGGGAUGGGAACAACAACUGGAAACGGUUACUAAUACCCCGUAGACUUAAGAGCAAAAGGAGUAAUCCGCCCGAGGAGUGGCUAGCGUCUGAUUAGCUAGUUGGUGAGUUAAUAGCUUACCAAGGCGAUGAUCAGUAGCUGUUCCGAGAGGGUGAUCGGCCACACUGGUACUGAGACACGGAGUAGACUCCUACGGGAGGCAGCAGUGGGGAAUUUUCCGCAAUGCGCGAAAGCCUGACGGAGCAAUGCCGCGUGGAGGUAGAAGGACCACGGGUCGUGAACUUCUUUUCUAGGAGAAGAAACAAUGACGGUAUCUGAGGAAUAAGCCUCGGCUAACUCUGUG